CGGGGAGGGAGCCACAGCUGCGGCCGAGUGAGGAGAGGAGCAGCGGGAGGUGAGGCCAGAGAAGCCUUGGAGGCAGAAGCUGCGGGCCUCAUGGUUAUCAUGAAGCUCCGGGUUUUACUCUGAGUACGCGGGAGCCAUGGAGAGUUCUGAGCAGAGGAAGCACAGGACCUGACCUGGGUUUCACAGGCUUCCUCUGGCUGCUGUGUGGAAAAUAGGCACCACCUCUUCCCGGUCAGGCCCACGUUACAUACGAGGACAAUGGAACAAGUCAAAGGCAAAGCAACACGUCCCCCUGUAAAAACUGUCAGUGUAACCGUCCACUUCCGUAUCUGUCCAGUCACUUAACAAACAUUGACGGACCACCUUUAAACACAGGCUGCUGUGCUGGUGUCUGGGACACAGCGCCUGACACUCAGGAGAUGGGGAGAGCCUUCCUCUCACUCCGCCUCAGGAGGAGCUCGAACCUGCUCCCUUAAAUCUCCAUCAGCUCCGCAAGCACUUGGGCUCUGCUGGCUGUAACGCUGCUCCCUGUUUACCAGAGGCUUUUGCUGGCACAUGUAUCACUCAGACUCUGAACUAGAUCAAGCCACAGAAAACUUCGAUUCAUGGAGCUGCUGGUCCCCAUUACCACAAGAUAUGCAUUCUUUCUCUUUGAUAAGGAAUUAAGGUGCCAUAUUCAAACUUUAAUCUGUAAAUACAGGUAAAUAAAACAUGAUUACAGAAAUCAUUUUCAAUAAAAAUCCAUCUUGA
rnacentral:lncRNA from 1 species